rnacentral:rRNA from 1 species
AUACGUAGGUGACAAGCGUUAUCCGGAUUUACUGGGCGUAAAGGGCGUGUAGGCGGUCUUGCAAGUCAGAAGUGAAAUUCCUGAGCUCAACUCGGGCGCUGCUUCUGAAACUGCAGGACUUGAGUGCUGGAGGGGAUAGCGGAAUUCCUAGUGGAGCGGUAAAAUGCGCAGAUAUUAGGAAGAACACCGGGGGCGAAGGCGGCUAUCUGGACAUAAACUGAGGCCUAGUCGCGAAGGCGUGGGGAGCAAACAGGAUGAGAUACCCUGGUAGUCCACGCUGUAAACGAUGAGUGCUAAGUGUUGGAGGGUUUCCGCCCUUCAGUGCUGCAGCUAACACAAUAAGUAUUCCGCCUGGGGAGUACAGCCUCAAGGUUGAAACUCAAAUGAAUUGACGGGG